rnacentral:rRNA from 1 species
GUGGGGAAUUUUGGACAAUGGGCGAAAGCCUGAUCCAGCAAUGCCGCGUGCAGGAUGAAGGCCUUCGGGUUGUAAACUGCUUUUGUACGGAACGAAAAGCUUCGGGUUAAUACCCUGGAGCCAUGACGGUACCGUAAGAAUAAGCACCGGCUAACUACGUGCCAGCAGCCGCGGUAAUACGUAGGGUGCAAGCGUUAAUCGGAAUUACUGGGCGUAAAGCGUGCGCAGGCGGUUUUGUAAGACAGAGGUGAAAUCCCCGGGCUCAACCUGGGAACUGCCUUUGUGACUGCAAGGCUAGAGUACGGCAGAGGGGGAUGGAAUUCCGCGUGUAGCAGUGAAAUGCGUAGAUAUGCGGAGGAACACCGAUGGCGAAGGCAAUCCCCUGGGCCUGUACUGACGCUCAUGCACGAAAGCGUGGGGAGCAAACAGGAUUAGAAACCCUAGUAGUCC